rnacentral:rRNA from 1 species
CUGGCUCAGGACGAACGCUGGCGGCGUGCUUAACACAUGCAAGUCGAGCGGUAAGGCCCUUCGGGGUACACGAGCGGCGAACGGGUGAGUAACACGUGGGUGAUCUGCCCUGCACUUCGGGAUAAGCCUGGGAAACUGGGUCUAAUACCGGAUACGACCAAAGGCUGCAUGGCUUUUGGUGGAAAGGUUUACUGGUGCAGGAUGGGCCCGCGGCCUAUCAGCUUGUUGGUGGGGUAAUGGCCCACCAAGGCGACGACGGGUAGCCGACCUGAGAGGGUGACCGGCCACACUGGGACUGAGACACGGCCCAGACUCCUACGGGAGGCAGCAGUGGGGAAUAUUGCACAAUGGGCGAAAGCCUGAUGCAGCGACGCCGCGUGAGGGAUGACGGCCUUCGGGUUGUAAACCUCUUUCAGCAGGGACGAAGCGCAAGUGACGGUACCUGCAGAAGAAGCACCGGCCAACUACGUGCCAGCAGCCGCGGUAAUACGUAGGGUGCGAGCGUUGUCCGGAAUUACUGGGCGUAAAGAGUUCGUAGGCGGUUUGUCGCGUCGUCUGUGAAAACCCACCGCUCAACGGUGGGCCUGCAGGCGAUACGGGCAGACUUGAGUACUGCAGGGGAGACUGGAAUUCCUGGUGUAGCGGUGAAAUGCGCAGAUAUCAGGAGGAACACCGGUGGCGAAGGCGGGUCUCUGGGCAGUAACUGACGCUGAGGAACGAAAGCGUGGGUAGCAAACAGGAUUAGAUACC